AGAAUCAACGCUGGCGGCGUGCCUAACACAUGCAAGUCGAACGAGAAAGUGGAGCAAUCCAUGAGUAAAGUGGCGACCGGGUGAGUAACACGUGACGUAACCUACCUUCAAGUGGGGGAUAACCUCGGGAAACCGGGCUAAUACCGCAUAACAUCUUUGGAGUGGAAAUUCUGGAGAUCAAAGGAGCAAUUCGCUGGAAGAGGGGGUCGCGGCUGAUUAGCUAGUUGGCGGGUAAUGGCCCACCAAGGCUUUGAUCGGUA
rnacentral:rRNA from 1 species